rnacentral:rRNA from 1 species
UGCGUAGGCGGUUUUGUAAGUCUGAUGUGAAAUCUAUGGGCUCAACUCAUAGUCUGCAUCGGAAACUGCAGGGCUUGAGUGUGGGAGAGGUGAGUGGAAUUUCCGGUGUAGCGGUGAAAUGCGUAGAUAUCGGAAGGAACACCUGUGGCGAAAGCGGCUCACUGGACCACAACUGACGCUGAUGCACGAAAGCUAGGGGAGCAAACAGGAUUAGAUACCCUGGUAGUCCUAGCCCUAAACCAUGACUGCUUGGUGUGACGGGUACCCAAUCCCGCCGUGCCGUAGCUAACGCGUUAAGCAGUCCGCCUGGGGAGUACGGUCGCAAGGCUGAA